CAAGUGAGGCUACCGAACGUUGGAAACAGCGGUUAGGAGCUUACACCCACCCGUGUUUACAUACUAUUGUUGCUUUGGCGGGCCGUGGCCUCCACUGCGGGCUCUGCUCGUGUGUGCCCGCCAGAGAACCAAACUCUGAAUGUUAGUGAUGUCUGAGUACUAUCUAAUAGUUAAAACUUUCAACAACGGAUCUCUUGGUUCUGGCAUCGAUGAAGAACGCAGCGAAAUGCGAUAAGUAAUGUGAAUUGCAGAAUUCAGUGAAUCAUCGAAUCUUUGAACGCACAUUGCGCCCUGUGGUAUUCCGCAGGGCAUGCCUGUUCGAGCGUCAUUUAACCACUCACGCCUAGCGUGGUAUUGGGGCACGCGGUCUCCGCGGCCCUCAAAAUGAGUGGCGGCGCCGGUGGGCUCUAAGCGUAGUACAUACUCCCGCUAUAGAGUUCCCCCGGUGGCUCGCCAGAACCCCCAAUUUUUACAGGUUGACCUCGGAUCAGGUAGGGAUACCCGCU
rnacentral:rRNA from 1 species